rnacentral:rRNA from 1 species
CCUGGUUGAUCCUGCCAGUAGUCAUAUGCUUGUCUAAAAGAUUAAGCCAUGCAUGUAUAAGCUAAAGCUGAUAAAUAGUGAAGCCGCGGACAGCUCAUUAAUACACUCAUAAUCUUCGCAAUGCAUCCAAUAUGGAUAUCUGUGCUAAUUUUAGAGCUAAUACACGCAAUCAAGCCCCUUAAUUGGGGAGCAUUUAUUAGAACAAAACCGAUCGGGGUCUCCCCGCUGUUGGUGAAUCUGAAUAACUGUGCAGAUCGCAGGUCUUUGUACCGGCGACACAUUGCAAGAGUGAGUGCCUUAUCAACCGUCGAUGGUAGUAUAUAUGCCUACCAUGGUUAUUACGGGUAACGGAGAAUUAGGGUUUGACUCCGGAGAGGCAGCCUGAGAGACGGCUACCAGUUCUAAGGAACGCAGCAGGCGCGCAAAUUACACAAUGACAGUAAACUGUUGAUGUAGUGACAAGAGGUAACGGGGCGGUCCUCUAUGAGGCCCGUCAUUGUAUUGAGUAAAACUCAAAAUAUUUAACGAAACCAAUUGGAGGGCAAGUCUGGUGCCAGCAGCCGCGGUAAUUCCAGCUCCAAAAGCAUAUAUUAAAGUUGUUGCGGUUAAAAAGCUCGUAGUUGGAUCCAUGACCUCGGAGGGCGGUCCCCCACUGGGUGCGUACUGCUGCUCCGAGUCCUAUCUGUCAGUUUGUCUGUGUUGCCUUUAAUCGGGUGGCACAGGUGACUGACGUGUUUUACUUUGAAAAAAUUAGAGUGUUUAAAGCAGGCGUUGAAUGCCUGAAUAGUGGUGCAUGGAAUAAUGGAAUAGGAUCUCGGUUCUAUUUUGUUGGUUCAAGAGCAUGAGAAAAUGAUUAAGAGGGACAGACGGGGGCAUUUGUAUUGCUGCGUUAGAGGUGAAAUUCUUGGAUCGUAGCAAGACAAACUACUGCGAAGGCAUUUGCCAAGAAUGUUUUCAUUAAUCAAGAACGAAAGUUAGAGGUUCGAAGGCGAUCAGAUACCGCCCUAGUUCUAACCGUAAACCAUGUCGACUAGCUAUCUGUCAGCGUUAAUAAUGACCUGACAGGCAGCUUACCGGAAACGAAAGUUUCUCGAUUCCGGGGGUAGUAUGGUUGCAAAGCUGAAACUUAAAGGAAUUGACGGAAGGGCACCACCAGGAGUGGAGCCUGCGGCUUAAUUUGACCCAACACGGGAAAACUCACCCGGCCCGGACACCGUAAGGAUUGACAGAUUAAUAGCUCUUUCUCGAUUUGGUGAUUGGUGGUGCAUGGCCGUUCUUAGUUGGUGGAGCGAUUUGUCUGGUUAAUUCCGAUAACGAACGAGAUUCUAACUUACUAACUAGUUCCACGAUCCUUGUGGUCCU